AACGUAGGUGGCGAGCGUUAUCCGGAAUUAUUGGGAGUAAAGCGCGCGCAGGCGGUCCUUUAAGUCUGAUGUGAAAGCCCACGGCUCAACCGUGGAGGGUCAUUGGAAACUGGGGGACUUGAGUGCAGAAGAGGAAAGCGGAAUUCCACGUGUAGCGGUGAAAUGCGUAGAGAUGUGGAGGAACACCAGUGGCGAAGGCGGCUUUCUGGUCUGUAACUGACGCUGAGGCGCGAAAGCGUGGGGAGCAAACAGG
rnacentral:rRNA from 1 species